UAUAUUUUCCCUCACCUUAAUCAUUCAUACUAUCUUCAUGAGCUGGCUCUCCCACAAGAUCCAGAUGCAUGUCUGUGUGUGUGUGUGUGUGUGUGUGUGUGUGUGUGUGUGUGUGUACACUAUGAAUAUAUGUUAGUCUGUCGCAUGUAUUUCUCCCAAACUGGCACAGACACUUGCUGCAGUGCAUUUUCCCACCACCCUACCCUCAUCAUACAUCUCAGGGGAGUGAAAACUCAGCCUUAAACUGGGUCACAAGAGAGAAUUAGACAGUGAUUAGGGGGCCUGGGUUUAUAUUGGGGGUGGGAUAAUUCUAGGAGCCACUAAGUAAGUUGGGGGAGGUCUGUUUGGUGUCCUGCUGAUAAGGUUGAUAACUGAGUAUGCCUGGGUUCAGUGUUCUAGUGUACAUUACUGCGCACUGUUUGUUUUGUGUAGGAAACAGUUUCGUUUUAUUUGGCCAAGCAUUCUUUCCUAGCAUCAGAAGGAUUGACUCAUCCUUUGGCAUUUGGUUUGAAUUUGAGACUUUUACAAAUCAUUUCUGUCUUUUAUAGGUAUUCAGUAAUCCACCAAAGAUCCUUACUGUUCAAGAAAUGGCUGGAUUGAAUAACAAGACAAUUGGAUAUGAGGGAAUUCAUAGCCCUAGUGUGCUUCCUUCUGGUGGAGAAGAAAGCAGAUCACCAUCUCUUCAACUUAAGCCUCUGGAUUCCAGUGUUUUACAGUUUUCCAGUAAGUACAAAUGGAUCCUAG
rnacentral:lncRNA from 1 species